rnacentral:misc_RNA from 1 species
AACUUUCAACAACGGAUCUCUUGGCUCUCGCAUCGAUGAAGAACGCAGCGAAAUGCGAUAAGUAAUGUGAAUUGCAGAAGUCAGUGAAUCAUCGAAUCUUUGAACGCACCUUGCGCCCUUUGGCUAUUCUGAAGGGCAUGCCUGUUUGAGUAUCAUGAACUCCUCAACUCCUCAUGGUUUGCCGUGAUGAGCUUGGGCUUUGGGGGUCUUGGUGGCCUAUGGUUGGCUCCUCUCAAAUGCAUCAGCUUGACAGUGUUUGGUGGCAUAACGGUUGUGAUAAAUAUCUACGCUUGUGGUUUCCACCAUAUAGCCUUCAGCGCUGAACUUUCUCUGGAGCUCACAAAUGUCCCUCCUCAGUGAGGACAGCUUUUUGAACAUUUGAUCUCAAAUCAGGUAGGAUUACCCGCUGAACUUAAGCAUAUCAAUAAGCGGAGGC